GUGACCAUUCCUGGUCUAAAAAAGCCGAUGAUGGUUGAGAUGGCCCUAGGUUAGAUUCAUGUCUGGAGUUCAUAAAUGAAACAGGGUCAGACGGGGGUCUAGAAAUGUAAUGUUUCUGUCUGUAUUUCUCAAAAUCCCUCUAGUCUGAGCUGUAGGUGUAGAUAAGUUAGAUCUCACAGAGGGCCUUUUAAAACAGCAAGGUCUGGUUUCUGAUUCGGACCAUUCUGUUUCAUCAGAUGAGGAAA